UAUAAACUAUAUAGAGCUCACCCUUUGACCAAAUACUUGCUUACAAAGCCAACCUUUUUUUUUUCCCUGAAGGUAAAUGAAGCAGUUUGAAAAACCUAAAAGGACGUUAAAACCUGCUUAUCGUUGAUUUAAAGGGAUGUAUAAAUACCCAACCACUCUCUUAACCACUGUAUAAAAAUAUUUUCUUCACUGAACGAUGGACAGGAUUUUAAAACACUUUUCCACAAAAUGUUCCCUAUCCUCACAGCACACACAGUGAGCUGCCAUCUUUGUUUGGACUUAGAAAUAGAGCCAAUACAGUUAAAAAAAACUCUUCUUUUCUCAAACUGGAUGAGAUGUUUUUCAUAGAUGACUAGGAAACUGUAUAGGGAUUUGGGAAUACCUCCACAACAAACCCUGAGUGGGAGUGGACAAACCUUCUGCUCCCUGAGAGGACUGAGUGGGCCGCCGCCAUCCGCUGUGUACGCACCAGAGAUGGAGGCAGAGAUGGAGGUAGUGUGUAGUGGGGUUUUUGGAGCUGAGAAUACUAAGGAGAGCUAUGCUGCUGAACUAAAAAGGUGGACUUCAAAACCAUAAGUGUUAAUACACUUGUGCUGAUUGGAGCGGUUUAAGGCAACCUCAGCAAUUAUGCCACUGCCAAGAGAGAGAAGGGAGGAAGUAGCACCCUGAGGCCCCCUGCCUCUGUUCAUCUUGGCCACGGCCGGUCCGGCUUCAUCCGUCUUCUAAGUGCAGAGCUUCCAUACCACGCCAAUGACGAGGGCCGCUGCAGCAUGCUGCGCUUCCUACUGCGCUCGUGAAAUCAGCUUUCUUUCCUGCCUUCCAGUUGUCUGGUGGGGAUGUCUGUGCAGCUCACUGCUGCACCAAAACACUCUGCUGCCCUCUCUUGUUCUCUACAGUUCAAUCAUGAAAAACUCAGCUGUUGAACUCAGAAGUCUAAAAAUGUAUUGCUGUAGAAAUAACUCCAGAAUUAAUUGCGAUUUUAAUUUACAACACAGUAAAUUCUAAAUCAAACAUGAUCUGGAGAAUUUAUUACAGUGAUUAAAAUAAAUCUACGGUAUUUAAUGAAACAGAAGUAAAAUUGUGGCACAUUA